rnacentral:lncRNA from 1 species
AAAAGAUGUACGCGCCGGGCAAAAGCUGCUUGAGGCGUCCACCUUAGCGCGGUCCCCCUGAUAAAACGAAGGUGUCGUUCCCCCACGAGUGAACGCAGAUGUCAACCCACGUUUCACGCGCGUAUCAGCGUCCAUCUGUUCUCUUCCAGGAUCCCCGACAAAUAAAAGAAGGCGCAGUUGACGAUACUUGAAAAGUGACAGUGAGACAGGGGGUGGACAGUGAGACAGGGGGUGGACAGGGACGACAGGAGGCCCGAGCGUUGCCGCAGCAGGUGGAGUGCCCGUGAUUUUAGCCUUUUGUUAGGGCACUCGAAAGAUCGUACGUGGUCUCAGCAGAGUAGACAAACGCAUAGUUUCUGCCUUUGUUUCCUUGCUGUCCUUUGGGCUUCUCCUCUGCGUACAGGGGAUCGACGUGCGCGUGUGUGUCGGGGCGUCAAGGUUGUCAGUGGGAUUCUCAUGUUCGAUGGGAAAGACUGACGAGAAAAGG